rnacentral:rRNA from 1 species
GACCUAGCGGCGGACGGGUGAGUAAUGCGUAGGAAGCUGCCCGAUAGAGGGGGAUACCAGUUGGAAACGACUGUUAAUACCGCAUAAUGUCUACGGACCAAAGUGUGGGACCUUCGGGCCACAUGCUAUCGGAUGCGCCUACGUGGGAUUAGCUAGUUGGUGAGGUAAUGGCUCACCAAGGCGACGAUCUCUAGCUGGUUUGAGAGGAUGAUCAGCCACACUGGAACUGAGACACGGUCCAGACUCCUACGGGAGGCAGCAGUGGGG